UUCAUAGAUGAUGAUGAGAUGAUUCACUUUAUCUUGAAUGGUCUUGACUUUGAUUAUAAUCCCUUUGUGUCUUCUAUGCUUGGUCGGGUUGAUUCUCUUUCUUUGAGUGAUAUGUACUCUCAACUGCUUACAUAUGAUC
rfam:Setaria italica strain Yugu1 chromosome IX, whole genome shotgun sequence.